UACGGAGGGGGCUAGCGUUGUCCGGAGUCACUGGGCGUAAAGCGCGCGUAGGCGGCCUGUUAAGUUGGAUGUGAAAGCCCGGGGCUCAACCCCGGAUGCGCAUCCGAGACUGGCAGGCUGGAGUCCGGGAGAGGGCGGCGGAAUUCCCAGUGUAGAGGUGAAAUUCGUAGAUAUUGGGAAGAACACCGGUGGCGAAGGCGGCCGCCUGGCCCGGAACUGACGCUGAGGCGCGAAAGCGUGGGGAGCAAACAGGAUUAGAAACCCCUGUAGUCC
rnacentral:rRNA from 1 species